GCGCCCCCUCCUCCCCCUCCUCCUCCUCCUCCAUCCUUCCUCCCGCCGGGUUCGUGCGCCCCUCCCGCUGCGACUGGCUGGGAGGCUCGGCCGCCCCCGCCCCGAGAGGGAGGCGGGGGCGCUAGCCGCGGCGGCCACCCAAGGCUGCGGAGGGGAACGAGAUCCGAGGCCCCGAGGCGGCCCUGCGUCUGGACCGGGCACGCGGGGGCUCUUCUGCGUCCCCAGCCCUGGGCCGCUGGGCCUGGCCUCGCCGCGGGGUGGAGGAGCCCCAACUACAAUGAUGGAGAGAAAAUUGUAUAGCUGAAAGAAGAAAAACCCUCCUAGUUGAAGAGGGGGGUAAGGAAAAAAACCUGGACCGUGGUCCACAUGCUUGACUGAAUGAUGGGCUCCUUUCAGCCAGAGUGUGUCUCUUGCUUGUUGGACCUUACUGAGGCCAUUGGAAAGACAUUCCCAACAUCCUGACAUUUUUCUACGAAUCCCCUAAUGUUCCAGCCAUGGUGUCUCCUCCCAAAAGGAGAAAGGAUGGCACCAGCAGCUCUGGCCUUCUCCAUCAGCUUAGAAACCUGAUCCCAAAGACAAUGCUUUCCCUCAGUCAUUCCAGAACAGUCUUGGGGCUCACUGGCUCAACUUUGGUGCUCUAUGUUUACCCCACGACUGAUUUGCCAGGUCUAUGUCACAUCCCCAAGACCAUGUGGACUGAGAAAGUGGGGAAGGAUGGUUCCCUAUGGUCAAAACAGGGUGCUGUUACCAGGAGGAGGACUGGAUGCUGGGCUGGCAAAAGGAACAGACAUCCACCCAUACAUCCUGUGGA
rnacentral:sRNA from 1 species